GAUCUACACUUCAAACCCUGCAGGGCCAUUCGAAGCACCGAGCCGUUGUCUCAUAAUAUACGUCGACAAUAAAAACUGAUUCAUCGUAGACUAAACACAUUUUGAAGUUGAUCGUGGGCGGUUGCUUAACUAUAGUCAUCCAUUACAUGACCAGGGGUUUGACUUUUGAUGGUGUAUUAUAAUAGGAUUGGUCUGACUGCCUGAGUCGGUAAUGUAAUUAGUUCCGGUGCCCAAGCUUUUGUUAUUAGCGAUUCGGAAAAUACAAGACAACUAUGUAAAGAUUUCGGUUCGCUGGUGUGAAAGGUCUCCGGGCAAGAGGCAGUUGCAGUGACAAGGCAUGGUCGAAGGGCGGCCCUUAAUUACAUUUUCGUGUUGACGUACAGGCGAGUUAACACUUUCAAUGCCUGUGGAGCAUCAGUGGCAAUUUGAAAAGAGCUACCUAUAUAGAGCUGCGUCGUAUAUAAUAAAGGUCCAACGUCGCUGUAAUAAUUCGGGGAUGAUCCGAUGAUGAACCUUCAACAAAGUGUUCGGUUUCAGACACCAAAUUAAUUAGGUCACAUCUUUAUGAGUACGUUUUAUAAUGUAUAGUUGGACGAAAUUAAAUUUGUAAUUUAUUAAUUAAUA